GCCUGGCUAGCUCAGUCAGUAGAGUAUCCGACUCGAUCUCAGGAUUGUGAGUUCAAGCCCCACGUUGGGCG
rnacentral:tRNA from 1 species